rnacentral:rRNA from 1 species
UACGAAGGGUGCAAGCGUUACUCGGAAUUACUGGGCGUAAAGCGUGCGUAGGUGGUUUGUUAAGUCUGUUGUGAAAGCCCCGGGCUCAACCUGGGGAUGGCACUGGAUACUGGCAAGCUAGAGUGCGGUAGAGGGUAGUGGAAUUCCUGGUGUAGCGGUGAAAUGCGCAGAUAUCAGGAGGAACACCGAUGGCGAAGGCGGCUCUCUGGGACGGUACUGACGCUGAGACGCGAAAGCGUGGGGAGCGAACAGG